rnacentral:tRNA from 1 species
GCCGGGCUGGCGGAAUGGCAUACGCAGGCGACUUAAAAUCGCUCGCCCCUCCCAGGGCGUGAGGGUUCGAGUCCCUCGCCCGGCA